AUUUAAUAGAAUUUUUAUUUAGUACUGUUAUCCUAAUAAACUGAAUAAAAACAGUUGUUGACAGGUCGAUGGUUAGUCGAUGGUAGUCCACAAGUUAUAUUGUUUGACAUUGGUUCAGCUGCAUGGAAAUUAGACGAAUACAAGCAAACCUUAUGGGAUACGUGUAACAUAGGAAUUCCACAUUUAGACAUAGAAGCAAACGAUGCCGUAAUUUUGGGAUAUUUAAUAUCAGAAUUUCUUUCAGAAUUCCGUGUGGCAGCAGCAGCAUACAUUGAUUCAACGCCAUUGGUUGUUGCUCAUUUUCACGAAUGGCAAGCUGGCAUAGGGUUGAUAGCAUUACGUACAAAAAAA